GAACUCGUGGGUAAGCCAAAUUAAAAAGGCAUCUUUUUAUUUUUAAAAGACCUUUUUCGGAAGGUAUGCUUAAAAAGGGGCUUGCGUCACAUUAGUUAGUUGGCAGGGUAAAGGCUUACCAAGACUAUGAUGUGUAGCUGGACUGAGAGGUUGAACAGCCACAUUGGGACUGAGACACGGCCCAAACUCCUACGGGAGGCAGCAGUAGGGAAUUUUCGGCAAUGGAGGAAACUCUGACCGAGCAACGCCGCGUGAACGAUGAAGUAUUUCGGUAUGUAAAGUUCUUUUAUUGAAGAAGAAAAAAUAGUGGAAAAACUAUCUUGACGAUAUUCAAUGAAUAAGCCCCGGCAAACUAUGUGCCAGCAGCCGCGGUAAUACAUAGGGGGCGAGCGUUAUCCGGAAUUAUUGGGCGUAAAGGGUGCGUAGGCGGUUUAAUAAGUCUAUAGUUUAAUUUCAGUGCUUAACACUGUCCUGCUAUAGAAACUAUUAGACUAGAGUGAGAUAGAGGCAAGUGGAAUUCCAUGUGUACGGUAAAAUGCGUAAAUAUAUGGAGGAACACCAGAGGCGUAUGCGGCUUGCUGGGUCUUUACUGACGCUGAGGCACGAAAGCGUGGGGAGCAAACAGGAUUAGAUACCCCUGGUAGUCCACGCCGUAAACGAUGAGUAUUAAGUAUCGGGAUUACUCGGUACUGAAGUUAACACAUUAAAGUAAUCCGCCUGAGUAGUACGUACGCAAGUAUGAAACUUAAAGGAUUGACGGGACUCCGCACAGCGGGGAUCAUGUUGUUAAUUCGAAGAUACACGAAAACCUUACCAGGUCUUGACAUACUCUGCAAAGCUAUAGCAAUAUAGUGGAGGUUAUCAGGGAUACUGGUGGUGCAUGUUUGUCCUCGCUCGUGUCUUGAGAUGUUAGGUUAAGUCCUAAAACGAGCGCAACCCUUGUCAUUAGUUGCCAGCAUGUCAUGAUGGGCACUUUAAUGAGACUGCCAAUGAAAAAUUGGAGGAAGGUGAGGAUCACGUCAAAUCAUCAUGCCCUUUAUGAUCUGGGCUACAAACGUGAUACAAUGGCUGUUACAAAGAGUAGCUGAAACGCAAGUUUAUAGCCAAUCUCAUAAAAGCAGUAUCAGUUCGGAUUGAAGUAUGCAACUCGACUUCAUGAAGUUGGAAUCGCUAGUAAUCGCGAAUCAGCAUGUCGCGGUGAAUACGUUCUCGGGGUUUGUACACACCGCCCGUCAAACCACGAAAGUUGGUAAUACUCAAAAACAUUAGCCUAACUUCUUCGGAAGAGGGAACCGUCUAAGGUAGGAUCGAUGAUUUAAGAUAAAAGUUGGAGAGCCAAU
rnacentral:rRNA from 1 species